CCUACGGGCGGCAACAGUGAGGAAUAUUGGUCAAUGGACGAGAGUCUGAACCAGCCAAGUAGCGUGAAGGAUGACUGCCCUAUGGGUUGUAAACUUCUUUUAUAUGGGAAUAAAAUGUUCCACGUGUGGGAUUUUGUAUGUACCAUAUGAAUAAGGAUCGGCUAACUCCGUGCCAGCAGCCGCGGUAAUACGGAGGAUCCGAGCGUUAUCCGGAUUUAUUGGGUUUAAAGGGAGCGUAGGUGGAUUGUUAAGUCAGUUGUGAAAGUUUGCGGCUCAACCGUAAAAUUGCAGUUGAAACUGGCAGUCUUGAGUACAGUAGAGGUGGGCGGAAUUCGUGGUGUAGCGGUGAAAUGCUUAGAUAUCACGAAGAACUCCGAUUGCGAAGGCAGUUCACUGGACUGCAACUGACACUGAGGCUCGAAAGUGUGGGUAUCAAACAGGAUUAGAUACCCCAGUAGUC
rnacentral:rRNA from 1 species